CAGCAGCCGCGGGAAUACGGAGGGGGCUAGCGUUAUUCGGAAUUACUGGGCGUAAAGCGCACGUAGGCGGCUUUUUAAGUCAGAGGUGAAAGCCCGGGGCUCAACUCCGGAACUGCCUUUGAGACUGGAAGGCUUGAACGUCGGAGAGGUGAGUGGAAUUCCGAGUGUAGAGGUGAAAUUCGUAGAUAUUCGGAAGAACACCAGUGGCGAAGGCGGCUCACUGGACGACUGUUGACGCUGAGGUGCGAAAGCGUGGGGAGCAAACAGGAUUAGAUACCCGCGUAGUCCCUGUCUCUUAUAC
rnacentral:rRNA from 1 species